rnacentral:lncRNA from 1 species
UGACUGCCCUCAGAGUCUCCAUAUUGAUAAAUUCUUCAGUAAAGUCAGAGUGCCAUUGCAAUCUACAAUGAAGAGAAGAUGGUAAGCAGGGGUAAAAUUGUCCAGAAAAAAAUGGAUUAGGGUUUACCCAUAAGCUGAAGUACAUUCUGACUUACGUACACAAAUUGAAUCUCAUCUUUCAAUCAUCUUCCCAUUUCACGCAAACAGUCGUCAUGCUUUUAACGUGAAGGUGACUCAUCCCCACAAUUUUACGUGCGCCGAACAACACACUAACGUGCACCGCCUGCCAUGGGUAAACCCUAGCCAGCUCAUCAGCUGCUAUGAAGUAAAAUUAAUCGUAUAUGCGAAAUAA